rnacentral:rRNA from 1 species
UACAGAGGGGGCAAGCGUUGUUCGGAAUUACUGGGCGUAAAGGGCGCGUAGGCGGCCUUCUAAGUCGAACGUGAAAUCCCCGGGCUUAACCUGGGAAUGGCCAUGGAAACUGGCGAACUGGAGUGCGGCAGAGGGGGGUGGAAUUCCGCGUGUAGCAGUGAAAUGCGUAGAGAUGCGGAGGAACACCGAUGGCGAAGGCAGCCCCCUGGGCUAGCACUGACGCUCAGGCACGAAAGCGUGGGGAGCAAACAGG